rnacentral:lncRNA from 1 species
UGGAGGCGUCUACGUCCAAUGGCGAGCGGCGGGGGAGACAGGGCGCGGGGGUUUCGCAGCGGCCUACCGGCGCGAUGCGGGGCGAGCAUUCGACGUCGCGGAGCCCUACCGCCCGAUUUAUCGACAAAAUCGGCCGGAAUUCAUCUCAGCCGCCGCGGCUCGGUCCCGAACCCGAUGCAAUCUCUCGUCCGUAUCGGCGGCGUGUCGGAUCGGAACAAAGGAACGAAUUCUAAGACAGAGAGAGAAAGAGGUUAGCUUUUUUUCUCUUUUCUUGGAUCUCUCCUCGAUCUCUCUCCCGGCCUCCGUGAACGAAUCCCACGUCGCUCGCGCGAGCGGAGGAGGGGAGAGGAAUACAAAUAGCAAUGGAUAUGGAUAUAAAAUCCGAGGAGGAGGAGGAGGAGAAAUUUAAUUAGGAAAGGGCAGCGGAGAGAAGAAAAGAAAGGCUGAGAUAAUAUAAUCCCUUGUCCGUCUCCACCUGUUUAUUUUUAAUAUUUUCCCUUUUUCUUUUUUU